UUACACAUGCAAAGCUCCCUGUACCAGUGUCAAAUCCCCCAAAAUUCUACAGAAUUUGAAGRAGAGGACAUCAAGUGCAUUCUCAUAGCUAAAGACGUCUUGCCUAGCCACACCCCCACGGGACUCAGCAGUGAUAAAAAUUAAGCAAUGAACGAAAGUUUGACUAAGUUAUACCUCCAAGGGUUGGUAAAUCUCGUGCCAGCCACCGCCGGUCAUACGAUUAACCCCAAAAUUAACUAUUUCCCGGCGUAAAACGUGUCCCUAGARUUUCCCUAAUAGAAUUAAAAUCCAACCAAUAUGUGAAAAUUCAUCGUUGAGAUUAAAAUCAGAAACGAAAGUUAUUCUAGUAGACUUAAUACACGAUAGCUAAGAUCCAAACUGGGAUUAGAUACCCCACUAUGCUUAGCCCUAAACCAUAAUAACUUAAUAACRAAGUUAUUUGCCUGAGAACUACUGGCCACCGCUUAAAACUCAAAGGACUUGGCGGUACUUUAUAUCCAYCUAGAGGAGCCUGUUCUAUAAUCGAUAAACCCCGCUAUACCUCACCACUUCUUGCUAAUUCAGCCUAUAUACCGCCAUCUUCAGCAAACCUUUUAAAAAGAAUUAUAGUAAGCAAGAGAACAAUCAUAAAAACGUUAGGUCAAGGUGUAGCCUAUGAAGUGGAAAGCAAUGGGCUACAUUUUCUUCACAAGAACAUUAACGAUACCCUCUAUGAAACUAGAGGACCAAGGAGGAUUUAGUAGUAAAUUAAGAA
rnacentral:rRNA from 1 species